ACUGUUUUACAGCCAAUAGACAGUGUGACCUUGGCCAUUCUGGCUUUUGCAGGAGCAGAGACCUUCCCCAGACCUAGAGUUUCCAAAAGUCAUCUUGCUAGACCAUGGCAACUAUGAAGCUCUGGUUUCAGGAGAAUCAUGGCUUCAAAAUGUCUAAUUUGUGGGCACAGAAGGAGUCUUUGAAAUAAUGAAACAAAUAAGUCAUGAAUAUAGUUUCCCACCUAGUCCUGUUACAGUGCUUUGCAGUCCAUUCUGUGCACAGCUAAUUCCAGCAUUGCUUCCUAGCACCAAAAAACACGACUGCCCCUCAUUACAGCUCUAGCUAUCUUAAGACAAUCUAUUGACUGCCAAAUAAUAGACAUAUACAUUUAUCAUGAGCAGUUCGUUUUACAGAAAGUAGUUUUGCUAACUGAGUAAUUACUUUCCCACCCUCUGUUAGCAAGCAUUUAUGGUUAUUUAUUUGCUUUUAUCCUGCAGCUCUAGAUUAAUGUACACUUCAUUUGCCAGUAAUAUUUUAAUCUUUUUCUUUAUUUAGCACUUAAGCCGUCCUCUGCUCUCUAAAAAAAAAAAUGGAUUUAUCUUGUAAAUUAAGAUGUUUGUUUCAGGGCUAAGUAGAGGAACAUUCUUCCAUUUGUGGAGUUUACCCUUUAUAAUUGUUCAGGAUGGAAGUGGUCUUUCAUAUUUCCUUCACUCCUACCCUUUCUGAGAGAUCACUCUUGGUUUAUUAACCAAGCCCAGUGGCUAGAUUUUAAUUUUUAAUUAUAUUUGACUUUUUUUUUCUUCAAUAAAAUGACCGGAGAGAACAUUCAAAUGUUUGGCAGGUCUCUGUGUCACCAGGAAUGACAUGUUUCUGUGACUCCUGUCAAAGUGACUUUGCCUCAAUAGUAAGCUUCAUGAGAGGAUCCUGCCAACUGUAAACAGGUUUUACCAACGGACCUGCAUGAGGUUAAAUGACAGCUCAGGUGUUAAUUUGGAUGAUGGUUUCUUCAUGAUGGCAGUUGGGAAAGUAAGGUUCCAAGUCCUCUUUCUGUGGUUCUUAGCCUUUCACUGAGAACAGGAGAGAAAGAAAUAGCACCAAACACUGGGAUUCAGACAAUGGUGUGCUGUGGCUGGGUUGGCGAUGUGUUGGUCAUGGAAAGGUUUUUAGAUAAAGGAAUGUUAUAAAAAUAAUACAAAGCAUAGGCUUCCAAAUGAGAAACAGUCUACAUAGUGACAGAUUUGGAUGCACACGUGGCCAGUGUGGAGAGUACUGAAGCAACAUUCAUCUUAAUCUCUCACCAGAGACACAAUCCCUGAACACACAGCCUUGUUCCUCUCUGUCUCAGUGUUCCUGCCCCAAUACUGUCCCAUUGACCCCUGGGUUGGCAAUUUGCAGAGGAACUUACAGGUCCUGGCCCAGUAUGUUUGUUUACUCCUUUAAAACAAACAUCCUACUAUCAAAAGUUAUGGCACCCAUAAACAAUGUACAAAGCAAUUGUAUUUUCUUUGAAAAGUUUUGAAAAAUCUUUGGAGACACUCGGGUCAUCUAUAUCUAGACAUUUGUCCAAAUCAUUGCAUUUAAUUUGUUAGUAGAGCUUUCUGUGCUUGUCUUUCUGUAUUUACUUAUAGUAAAUGCAGAUGCAUAUGUGCAGACACAGCUAUAUUUGUGCAUAUGUCUCUGCUGAUGUACAAUGUCCACUGUAAAGCACCUCAGGCCCAGGCAUUGGGAAGUGUGUGAUUCAGUAGAGUUCAGGGAAUGGAGACAGUUGCUUAGAUAGCACCCAGAAGGCUGCAACUGAUUAGAGGAGGUAUCUGUAGUUGGUGUGGCAAGUGGACGGACUUGGAGACAUGGUUUAGGUCAAGUUAGUUAUUUACUUUUAUGCAAAUUGGCAAUAACUAGUCAAUGGCUAGAUGGUACUUGUUCUCCUUCCUUCCUACUUGAGACGGGAUCUCGUGUAGCUAGAUCUCACUUUUACAAGAGCUCAUUUUAAUUCCGUUUUUGGGAACACCCAAUCUAAAAAUGCAUUGACAACUCCCAAAUGUUUUCACCACACUAAGGAAAACAAGGAGAUCAAGGAAAAGGAACCCAAAUUUUUCAAUACAAAAUGCAUUGCUAGAGAAUGUGGGGACAUUUCUGACAGGCAAGCUUUGCUAAUAGCUGGUAAUCACCAUCUCGCCUUGUGUCUCCAAAUGUAUGGAAGAUGUCCGGGUUUCCCCUAAGACAUCUGAGAUUGUAAGAGCAUAACACUGGCAUGAUUUCAGCCUGCCUUUCAGCUGCUUGGGGCUGAUGGAGGACAUGGACCUGUAUCAUCUGGCUUGCAAACACAGUGACUAGCAUCUCCCUAUCGAGGGCCCCAGUUUGGAGGAUUCAUUCAGUGUUUAUUUCUGGAGCUAUGAGUUACGUUAGCACAGUUACUGUUAGUAGUUUACAAGCCAUACUUCCACUUGUACACUUGAUUGUAAGAUAGAUUUAAAUUGUGCACUAUGUUGAUUACUCUAUAUAAACGUGGAAAUUCUGUAUAUUUGGUCUUAUGCUAUAUGUAUUUGAUGUGUAAAUGAUAACUAACAGAUAUGAAAUAGUUUGCUGUG
rnacentral:lncRNA from 1 species